rnacentral:rRNA from 1 species
GGUAAAUCUCGUGCCAGCCACCGCGGUCAUACGAUUAACCCAAGCUAACAGGAGUACGGCGUAAAACGUGUUAAAGCACCAUACCAAAUAGGGUUAAAUUCUAACUAAGCUGUAAAAAGCCAUGAUUAAAAUAAAAAUAAAUGACGAAAGUGACCCUACAAUAGCCGACGCACUAUAGCUAAGACCCAAACUGGGAUUAGAUACCCCACUAUGCUUAGCCCUAAACACAGAUAAUUACAUAAACAAAAUUAUUCGCCAGAGUACUACUAGCAACAGCUUAAAACUCAAAGGACUUGGCGGUGCUUUAUAUCCUUCUAGAGGAGCCUGUUCUAUAAUCGAUAAACCCCGAUAAACCUCACCAAUUCUUGCUAAUACAGUCUAUAUACCGCCAUCUUCAGCAAACCCUAAAAAGGAAAAAAAGUAAGCGUAAUUAUGAUACAUAAAAACGUUAGGUCAAGGUGUAACCUAUGAAAUGGGAAGAAAUGGGCUACAUUCUCUACACCAAGAGAAUCAAGCACGAAAGUUAUUAUGAAACCAAUAACCAAAGGAGGAUUUAGCAGUAAACUAAGAAUAGAGUGCUUAGUUGAAUUAGGCCAUGAAGCACGCACACACCGCCCGUCACCCUCCUCAAAUAGAUUCAGUGCAUCUAACCCUAUUUAAACGCACUAGCUACAUGAGAGGAGACAAGUCGUAACAAGGUAAGCAUACUGGA